rnacentral:rRNA from 1 species
CGGAAGGAUCAUUAAAAAAUUAUUACUACACACCGUUCUUAUUUAACUAAAAAACAUUCUAACUAAUUCUACAAGAAAUUCUUUAAAACUUUCAACAACGGAUCUCUUGGUUCUCGCAUCGAUGAAGAACGCAGCGAAAUGCGAUACGUAAUACGAAUUGCAGCUCUCGGAAUCAUCGAAUCUUUGAACGCACAUUGCACCAUUAGGUAUUCCUAAUGGUAUGCUUGUUUGAGCGAAUACUUCCCUAAUCCUUAGGAUUGUAUUGUGAAACGAAAAUCAUACGAACGUACUCUACAAAAAAGUACUCCGUCCAUUUUUCAUUCCUCAAAUCAAGUAGGACUACCCGCUGAACUUAAGCAUAUCAAUAAGCGGAGGAAAAGAAACCAACAGGGAUUGCCUCAGUAACGGCGAGUGAAGCGGCAAAAGCUCAAAUUUGAAAUCCCCCCGGGGAAUUGUAAUUUGAAGAUUGUGUUUUGGAAACGACCGUGUCUAUGUUCCUUGGAACAGGACGUCACAGAGGGUGAGAAUCCCGUGCGGCACGGCCACCGUUUCCUUAUAAAACACUCUCGACGAGUCGAGUUGUUUGGGAAUGCAGCUCAAAGUGGGUGGUAAAUUCCAUCUAAAGCUAAAUACAGGCGAGAGACCGAUAGCGAACAAGUACAGUGAUGGAAAGAUGAAAAGCACUUUGAAAAGAGAGUGAAACAGUACGUGAAAUUGUUGAAAGGGAAGGGCAUGCCGUCAGAUUGUCAGUGUGGGUAAGAAGCGGGGUACAAAGACUGUGGAACGUGGCCCCUCGGGUGUUAUAGCCACAGUUCAUCCCCCGUCUCUUUCCGA